rnacentral:lncRNA from 1 species
GACCGAAUGGCAUGGUACGACCAGCUGAAAAUCUUUCUGUCUCUGCUAAGAAACCUGAUGCAGGAGGCCUUUCACCUGCUAUGGGUAAGGAAAAGGAACAAGGUGGAAGGUUGCUGCAAGCUAAUAUUUCAACUGAUCAGAAACUGGCAGCUGAAAGUCGUUCUGCCUCUGCUAAGAAACCUGAUGCAGGAGGCCUUUCACCUGCUAUGGGUAAGGAAAAGGAACAAGGUGGAAGAUUGCUGCAAGCUAAUAUUUCAACUGAUCAGAAACUGGCAGCUGAAAGUCGUUCUGUCUCUGCUAAGAAACCUGAUGCAGGAGGCCUUUCACCUGCUAUGGGUAAGGAAAAGGAACAGGGUGGAAGGUUGCUGCAAGGUAAUAUUUCAACUGAUCAGAAACUGGGAGCUGAAAACCGUUCUGUCUCUGCUAAGAAACCUGAUGCAGGAGGCCUUUCAC